rnacentral:lncRNA from 1 species
CAAAAACUUUCUUGUAACUCCUCUCAACUAAUGGAAUCCUGCAUUAUUAGUUGUUAGGUAAAAUUUGUAUGCUCAGAUGUUCAGGUUUGUAGCUUAUGUAUGUGUGUAUAUAUUAUAUAAAUAUAGAUGUAUAUAUAAAUAUUAUGUUCAGUCUGAGUCUGGCACAACUCCAUUAUGUGGAUUAGAGGGUAAAAUAUAAUGGAUGAUGAAGUACUAAAUGAAACAUAUUUAUUUAUGAAAGUGUGUAGAUUGUUAAUAAGGAGUGCAGUGCUGAGAACGCUGUGUGUGAGGAGACAGGCCUUGGACCUCCUGGAAAGCGCUGCUUGGAAGUCACCAGUGACUGUUUUUUGUGGGGUUUUUUUUUGUAUUUCUCAAAAAGAAAGCUUCUUAGAAAACAUGCUGAGAUUUUAUUUACAGGGAAUUCUUUGACACAUUUCAAUUGGUGUGUAGUCAAGUAUAGCAAGUGCUCAAUAAUGACUGAAUUUCAUGUUCCACAGUCAUGCAUAUUCAUUAGGGGUUUAUGUUGCUAGUCUGUUCUGGCUCUUCUUUGUUUGUUGGUGGAGGGGCACAGAGAGAAGGACCAUUUUUUAAACUUGAACAUGUUCAGGAGUUACCUCCUCAGAAAUCUCAGUGGUGGAAAUGAAAGGAGUGACAUAAAAAGCAGUUUAAUUUAGCAAUUAUAAUUCCUCUUGUAAAACAAAACGAAUAAAAACUUGCUAUAUUUUUGGGAGAAAAGUUGGCAAUAUAUAGGGGAUUUGUUGUUUGUGUCAAAAGAAGAGCCAUUUAUGUUCUUUUGGGGAACCAGUGCCUUACAGAAUUUGUAUAUACUGUAAUUAUUCAGGACUAGGGAACAAACAAUUGUAUUGUAUUUGUUACAAAUUGUAUAUGGCUUUGUUUUAACAUUCCCCUAAAUAAAAUGGUUUUAUUCUCCCUGUAGAGAAAACAUGAAUGCCAGCUUCUGUUUGUGCCUUUUCUUUUUGUCUUUGAAAACCUAACAUUGUAACAGGCACGAGGCAGCAGUGAAGCAAUGAUGCAGGGUUCUCAUGAAGAACAGAUGAGAUGACUCCAUGAAGUACAUGGCAGUCCCACGCC